GUGGAAACUAACCCACGUCUUUGGGAAAACAUUGCUGGUAAAGGUCACUUCAGAACUAUGUUCACAAAUUUAUGGUCAAGUAUCUCAGGACGAGCAGGUUUGAAGAGUCAUAUUGUGCACUGUCAGGUUUUACAAGUUUGAGCAUUGGAAGUCUUAGCCACUCUUGAUGAGAACUGAGAGCUGCUUCAACUUUCUGUUUCAAGAACAAAGU
rnacentral:misc_RNA from 1 species